rnacentral:rRNA from 1 species
CACGUAGGCGGAUUGCUAAGUCAGGGGUGAAAUCCCGGGGCUCAACCUCGGAACUGCCUUUGAUACUGACAGUCUUGAGUCCGGAAGAGGUGAGUGGAAUUCCUAGUGUAGAGGUGAAAUUCGUAGAUAUUAGGAAGAACACCAAUGGCGAAGGCAGGUCUCUGGGCCGUCACUGACGCUGAGGAGCGAAAGCGUGGGGAGCGAACA